CAAUCCCUGCGGUGUUCGAGGUUAGCCCUUGUUUUGAGCCAAUACUUUUACAUCGGGAACCCGAGUUCGCAGUGGCUUUCGGGCCGGCUUGACCGGAAGGAAAAAGCUGUCGAGAAAGGUACCCACCUGCAUAUGCAGGUUCAAAACAAGGGUAGGAUACGGCAUGGUGGGGAUUGU
rnacentral:other from 1 species